GCCUGCUUAGCUCAAUUGGCAGAGCAUCGGUCUUGUAAACCGAAGGUUAUCGGUUCGACUCCGACAGCAGGCU
rnacentral:tRNA from 1 species